CACUAUACCGACCUGAGAAUCACCCUCUUCGUCUUCAACUCUUCAUCGAUUCCCAUCUUUGAUUUCUAGAAUUUUUUUUAUGUUCUUCAGCUUCAGCUUUCAAACACUGUCCAUGGAGUUUCUGAAAGGAGGUGAUGAGAGGCGAUCAUUAACGGAAAAUCUCUGAAGCAAUUUUCUUUUCAUGUCGUUUGGUCUGGAUUUCAUAACGCCUUAGAGUCGUUACGAGAUUCCUUCAAUCGUUGUCAUUAACGACUAUCUUAACUCCUUUAUCCCACUCUCAGCAUGAUCCCUCAUUCAAUGUACAUCAAUUUACUCCAGUCGGUGAAUCUCUUGCGAUAAAAAGAAUAGAUGAGUCCCGGUCUAGGAUUGAGCCUCCUAAGCAACCUCGCUAGAUUUCGCCUCUAAGCUAUCCUGCUGUAUCGAUCAACUUGAACGCCUGAAUCAAAUCAGAGUAAUAAUUGCACAAGUUCUCGGGGAGAACACUGAUCGGAGUGAUGGGGAGACUUGGCUUGGGUUACCAUGCGAUCCAUCAAAGAAAGAGGAAGAAGCACAACAGCUGAAAGAAGAAGGUUCAGAUCUGGAGACAAGGUUUGAAUUUGGGGGAAGAUGUUUAAAAAAAAUGUAUUUGUGUUAGCCAUCACAUCUGAAUCUAGAUUUUGCCAUGGAAUAGUAUUGGUGCCAAGUUACCUUCGUUAGGUCUUCGAACCUACAUGCCUUGGUUCUGUCUACAUGAAAUAGUAUUACACGUCAACCCAUCGGUUCCAGUCUUUUGCCUUCUUUUAUUUUAUAUGCACUAAUAUACUCUCUUUUUGAUUUUAAAUUGGGUUCAGACACAUUGACGAUCACGAGAAAGAGGAAUUUAGGAGACCAUAUGAUGUUAAGUCUUUGUGGUUGAUAUGUCCUGCCUCUGCAUGUUUCGUUCUCCUCAUGCUAUGAUUGAGUUUACUAGGUUGGUAGUGUAUUGAAUAAGUUAAUAGAUUGUGGUUUCGUGAAGCAUAAGGAGUUCAUCACUUUGAAACUUUCGUUUGUCUUUAUUUGGUUUGUAUCAUUCUUCAUAUUUCUUUUACACUAGCAGCAAGUGUUUGUUGAAGAAUCUCAUGAGAAACAUCAAUUGGGAGAUCAACAACACCUUAAUAAAACUCAAGUCCUGAAGAAAUUAUUUGCAAGGCACCACAAAAAGGAAGGAAACGUAAAGGGUGACAUGGAAACGGAUAUAUCAAUGAAGGAAGAUCUUGAAACAAAGCUGAACAUAACAAGAUAUAAGCUCAACAACACACACAAGGGUAACAAAAAUCUUAAUCAUCGCAUCUAAAGUCUCAACGGUACUUCCUUUCGGUCUAUAAAUUUCAUCACUUUUUUAUGAGUUUUUUGCACUAUUGAGUGUUGAAACGGCUAAACCAAUGCAAACGUUAAUAGAGAGAUUCAGAAUACACACACUAAGGUGUUCUUGGGUGUUUGAUUAUGAUUGAGUUUUUGUCUGUAGAGAUGGGAUAUUGUAAUAGCUUCUGUGAAGUUAUCAGAGUGUCAAAAAUG